UACAGGGGGUGCGAGCGUUAAUCGGAAUUACUGGGUGUAAAGGGCGCGUAGGCGGCAUGAUGUGUGUGGUGUGAAAGCCCCGGGCUUAACCUGGGAAGUGCAUCGCAAACUGUCGGGCUGGAGUACAUGAGAGGGUGGCGGAAUUUCCGGUGUAGCGGUGAAAUGCGUAGAUAUCUGGAGGAAUACCGGUGGCGAAGGCGGCAUCCUGGACCGACAUUGACGCUGAGGAGCGAAAGCCAGGGGAGCAAACGGG
rnacentral:rRNA from 1 species